rnacentral:rRNA from 1 species
AGUCACUGACAUUAGAUACCCGUGUAGUCCCAGCCGUAAACUAUGCGCGUUAGGUGUACUGGUGACCACGAGUCACCGGGGUGCCGAAGGGAAACCGUGAAACGUGCCGCCUGGAAAGUACGGUCGCAAGGCUGAAACUUAAAGGAAUUGGCGGGGGAGCACAACAACGGGUGGAGCCUGCGGUUUAAUUGGACUCAACGCCGGACAACUCACCGGGGACGACAGCAAUAUGUAGGCCAGGCUGAAGACCUUGCCUGAAUCGCUG